UACGUAGGGGGCAAGCGUUGUCCGGAAUUAUUGGGCGUAAAGAGCGUGUAGGCGGCCUUGCAAGUCGGAUGUGAAAGCCCCGGGCUCAACCCGGGAAGUGCACCCGAUACUGCUAGGCUUGAGUACCGGAGAGGUUGGUGGAAUUCUCGGUGUAGAGGUGAAAUUCGUAGAUAUCGAGAGGAACACCGGUGGCGAAGGCGGCCCACUGGUCCGGUACUGACGCUGAGGUGCGAAAGCGUGGGGAGCAAACAGG
rnacentral:rRNA from 1 species